rnacentral:rRNA from 1 species
UACGUAGGGUGCGAGCGUUGUCCGGAAUUAUUGGGCGUAAAGAGCUCGUAGGCGGUGUGUCACGUCGGCCGUGAAAACCUGCAGCUUAACUGUGGGCGUGCGGUCGAUACGGGCAUCACUGGAGUUCGGCAGGGGAGACUGGAAUUCCUGGUGUAGCGGUGAAAUGCGCAGAUAUCAGGAGGAACACCGGUGGCGAAGGCGGGUCUCUGGGCCGAUACUGACGCUGAGGAGCGAAAGCGUGGGGAGCGAAUGGG